rnacentral:rRNA from 1 species
UACGUAGGGUGCAAGCGUUAUCCGGAAUUAUUGGGCGUAAAGAGCUCGUAGGCGGUUUGUCGCGUCUGCUGUGAAAACUGGAGGCUCAACCUCCAGCCUGCAGUGGGUACGGGGCAGACUAGAGUGCGGUAGGGGGAGAUUGGAAUUCCUGGUGUAGCGGUGGAAUGCGCAGAUAUCAGGAGGAACACCGAUGGCGAAGGCAGAUCUCUGGGCCGUAACUGACGCUGAGGAGCGAAAAGCAUGGGGGAGCGAACAGG